rnacentral:rRNA from 1 species
AUUGAACGCUGGCGGCAGGCCUAACACAUGCAAGUCGAACGAGUGGCGGACGGGUGAGUAAUGUAUGGGAAACUGCCUGAUGGAGGGGGAUAACUACUGGAAACGGUAGCUAAUACCGCAUACCAUCGGAUGUGCCCAGAUGGGAUUAGCUAGUAGGUGGGGUAAAGGCUCACCUAGGCGACGAUCCCUAGCUGGUCUGAGAGGAUGACCAGCCAACCAGGGACCGGGGAACGGUCCAGAAUCCUACGGGAGGCAGCAGGGGGGAAUAUUGCACAAUGGGCGCAAGCCUGAUGCAGCCAAGCCGCGUGUAUGAAGAAGGCCUUCGGGUUGGAAAGUACUUUUAGCGGGGAGGCGUUACCCGCAGAAGAAGCACCGGCUAACUCCGUGCCAGCCGCCGCGGUAAUUC